UACGUAGGGUGCAAGCGUUAUUCGGAAUUACUGGGCGUAAAGCGUGCGCAGGCGGUUCGGAAAGAGAGGUGUGAAAUCCCAGGGCUUAACCUUGGAACUGCACUUUUAACUACCGGGCUAGAGUACGUCAGAGGGGGGUAGAAUUCCACGUGUAGCAGUGAAAUGCGUAGAGAUGUGGAGGAAUACCGAUGGCGAAGGCAGCCCCCUGGGAUGAUACUGACGCUCAUGCACGAAAGCGUGGGGAGCAAACAGG
rnacentral:rRNA from 1 species